rfam:Sorghum bicolor cultivar BTx623 chromosome 8, whole genome shotgun sequence.
GUUGUCAGAUUCACUUCAAUCCAUGUGUGUUGGUGUGGAAUGCGGUGGAAUUUAGUUCAAAUUCUACGCCAAUCCACCUCAACACAUGUGGAUUGAUGUGAAUCCGACU